GAUGUUUUCUUUCUUGUAUUAACUGUUUCAACUUCCAUUUUUAAAUUGACUAAUGGUCUGCAGUAACAAAAGUGACUUUUCAUACUCACAGAUGUAUAUGUAAUAGGAGGUUAUGCCAUCUUGUUGGAUAAUGUAGUUCACUUUAAUUAUUUUUAAAAAUUUAGCUGAUAUUUUGCCCUUUUGGGAGUAUGGAUGAAUUUGUUCAAUGUUCUACAUCUGGAAAAUUAAACUGAAAAGUGCUGAGUAUUUUACUGUUGUCAAGACAUUGAGGAAACUUGAACUCGAACCCCAAGCAAAGUGGGAAUUGAAACUGGUCAACCCCCUGCUUGUUCCUUGAGUUGCAGAGAACCCGGUGGCUCAGGUGGUUGACCCUACCUCAGGAAGUUCAGUAUGUUUAGGAAGAUCCUUUGAAGUGUAAAUGAUAGUGAAAUCCAACUUCUAGACUCCAAUAUCUUCUGUUGUGCUGAGUAAAUGUUAUUUAUAGCAUGAAGGCCCAAUCAGAUCCUCUUGAAAAAAUUUGUGAAAUAGGACAGGAAUAGCUGUGACAAUCUGUAGGGAAUCUCGAGCUAAGUUGGGAUGUAUGGUUUCCUUUGGGAGUUGCUUGAAAAGCUUGCAUUUGUUAUGUAAUUGGUGCUCCUUUCACUCGAAAGGAGGCAUCUGUCCUUAAAGGAACUUCUUCUAUGCCAGUCACAGAACAACUACCUGCUGAGUUCACGGCAGUCUCCUGCCUGUCGGAGCAUCCUCGGUGUGAUGACUUUCCCUAAUCGAGUCCUGUGUCGGAUUGCUUCCAUGCCACCAAAAGCUGCAACCCUAUCGAGGAGGUGAAGAUCACAACUUGUAACUUCAAUAGGCCACGAACUUAUCAAUCACCCCUGCUGUGGACCACUGGAGAUCCAAGACACCGACUUCUACAAAGAAAAGAUCCGUAUGCUCCAUGACCGCUGGACUAAACCUAAUUCCAGCUCCUGAUUCUGGAAAUAAUUUCACUGUUUUCUGAAAGGUGACAUCUUCUGAGGUGGCAGCAAAGAAUUAACAAGAAAACACAAAGUAAAAUAAAGAAAAAGAAGCUUAGAUAAACUGCUCCAACUUAAACUUCAAAAUAAAGCCUAGCGGUCAAAUUGCAUCUUCAGACUCUAUAAAUUGAGUUUAGGCCAACUUACCAACGCUUCAGAUUAUCAGAAUCGUGCUUGUUAUUACUGACUUGUGUUUCAUGAAAUUUGUUUUGUGGCAGCUGCAUA